rnacentral:lncRNA from 1 species
CUACAUUCCAUCCCCCUUAAAAGAUCCUUGCUGCCAUCAAGGAUCAAAAGUAGGAAACUGACUCUUCAGAAAUGAAUACUCCUCCCAAGUAGCUUCUUUAGGUUCCAGAUUUGCCCACUAAUCUAGAACUUCAACCACGGCUUUGUUUUUCUUCUUCACCAUCAUGCGAUCCAAAAUCUAAACUGGUUCUGUCAAAAUCUAUCUGUCAUUGGCGCAAUAUAGAGGGUCUUCAGUAGGAAGUACCAUUUCCCCAAUUUUCUUUUUCAGUUGCGUCACAUGAAAAAUCCGAUGAAUUUUUUAUCCUUCAGUAACUUAGGCUUGUAAACUACUUGUCCAAUCUUUUGAGUCACUUCAUAAGGUUCAAAAUAGCAAGCAGAGAGUGUCAAAUUCUUGCAUACCGCCAUUGAUGAUUGACGAUAAGUUUGUAACUUUAAGAAUACCCAAUCACCAAUUUCAAAGUUGCGAUCUUUUAUUUUCCCAUCUUCAUAGACCUUCAUUCUUGCUUGUGCUUUCACUAAAUUGUCCUGCAACAUUCUGGUCAUUAAUUGUCUUUCACAUAACACUAAAUCUGCUGCUUCUAGCUUGGAUUGAGCAAUCAGAUCAAAGAAGGGCUGAGGUGGAUCGUAGACGUACAAGGUUAUAAAAGGAGUCAUGUUGAUUGCUGAUUGAAAAUUGGAGCAAUACCAGUAUUCUACAAGUGAUAACUACUGACUCCACUCAGACAAUUUAUGCCAUGUCAUACACCGGAGGUAGGUCUCUAGGCAAUGGUUUAACCUUUCUGAUUGGCCAUCAGUUUGAGGGUGAUAAGCGGUGCUAGGCUUUAGAUGAACCUUUAACCCUUUAAACAAUUCUUUCCAAAAAUUGGUCAUAAAAAUGGGGUCUCUAUCAGAGACAAUUGAGCUAGGCAGUCCAUGUAAUUUGCAUACAUUAUCCAAGAAUAUUUGUGCAACUUGAAGAAGAAUAGGGAUGUUUAAUGCAAAGAAAUGGGAAAACUUUGUAUGCCUGUCAAUUACCACGAGUACUGAAUCUUUCCCAUGUGAUUUAGGCAAUCCACUAAUAAAAUCCAUUGCUAUGUGUUCCCAGGACCUCGAUGGAAUUGGCAGCGGCUGUAAGAGUCCGAGUAGGCUACAUUCUCUCCUUUAUUUCUUUGAUAAGUUUCAUAAUCAGCCACAUGUUUGUUCACAUCUUGUAAGAGUGUAGGCCAGUAGAACAAUGUUAUUAGUCUAUGUUGUGUUCCAUGUAUUCCUGAAUGACCACCCCAUGGUGUUGAGUGCAUUUCAUUAUUAAGUUUUUUACGGAUGGAAAAGGCUCCCAACCCAAACCUUAUCAUUCUGCCAUAGGAAACCACCCUUCAAUUGCAUACCUUGGAUUGCAUCAGCAUCAACACUCAAUUGAGAGAUGAAUUUUCGGGCUACUAGGUCAUCUUGGCAACUAUUUAUUACAUCCUCAGCCCCUUUUGGAUGGACUAUUGUGAGCCUAGCACAUUUCCCAUCAUCAAACUUUUUGGAAAGAGUAUCCGCAGCUAUAUUUUCAGCCCCCUUGCAAUACUGGAUUUCAUAAUUGAGACCUAGCUGCUUGGUAAUUCCCUUAUGCUACAGAUAUGUUGCGAUCCUCUGAUCUUUCAAGAAUUUAAGACUAAAAGGAUCUGUGUUGAUGAGGAAAUGGUUAGGUUGUAAGCAGUGACGCCAUUUUUCCACUGCAUGUAAUAGUGCAAUUAGCUCCUUUUCCGAUGUGGAAAGUCUUAAGGGCUUAGUACUCAAUGCCCGACUGAUGAAUGCAAUAGGCCUACCAUUUUUGCAUUAAGACAACCCUAAUUCUCUUCCCUCUAGCAUCCAUCUCUACCACAAAUUGUAUUAAAAAAUUAGGUAAUGCUAAUACAGGUGCCUGACACAUAGGUUGCUUCAAUUCUUCAAAGGCUUGAGUUGCUUCAGAGUGCCAAUGAAAGUUUUUCUUCAUUAAGAGGUUAGUCAGAGGUUUGCUAA